ensembl:lncRNA
CGUGUGUGUGUGUGUGUGUGUGUGUGUCAGUCACUUGUAUUAUUUACAUAGUCCUGAUUUUGGGCCUGCUGGAUCUGUCUCAAGGCGUUCAGGGCAUCAGUCAUGUUUGAUGAGUGUACAUUGUCUGAUGUGUGUGUGUGUCAUUUCUCACUCAAUCAACAAGUGCACGUCUGUUCAGGUGUGUGUUUCUCUUCAUUCUGAGUCAAUGUGUGUAGAUGUGAAUGUUUGUGUAUGUUGGCGUGUUUAUCACUUUCCUGUUCUGGUGUUUUGGGUAAACCACGGCCUGAAGCGUGCCCUGGGGUCCUGCCCUCCUCCUUUUCAGUCCGGUUGCGACCAUUGCUGCUGCUGCUCAUAGUUCAGUCUGUCCUGGUCCUGGCCCCAAUUGGGGCAGUCCUUUCUCCAGUGUCCAUGCUCACCGCAGGUGAAACCUGCAUCUUCUUCUGUGUUUUGUCCAUUCUGAGGUGCCUUUUGACCUCAGUUGCUCCUCCUGUCUCUGGCACGCCCUUUCUUCUGCUGCCCGAUCAUCCGUGUUGGUCCGUCACUGUCCUGUACAGUGUUAAUGCAGAGUUAUCAAGGUCAGCAUUCUUUUGCUCAGCCUUACUUUUCAUUCGGGCUUAAUGGGCGUCUCGUCACAGCUCUGUCAGCUGAAGCUGUCUGGAAAUCUCCCCCGUGUAGUGAAACGGGCCUUGGAUUUAACGCUCUCCAUCUCUGCUGCAUGAGAUCGCUUUCCUGUAGCACUGUUGACAUUUUUAGAUUGUUGUUAUGGGUCCAGCUGCUGCAGCAUUUGGUCAGGGUCAAGGUCAGAGAUGGUAGAGGGGAGAGCAGGAGUCCAGGUCAGCUUCGGCUUUCAGGACCGGCAAAGCAGCCUGUAAUUAAACAUAAAGAGAAAAAACAAAAACAAAACAAAAACAGACGAACAGGAAAAUGAUGUUGUAUUGGCUGUGUUAUUCAGAGAGGGGAGAAACACCGGGCCAGGCCCUGUGUCAGCCUUCUCUCCCCCUUUUUUGUUUUUCCUCACAAUAUAAUUAACUCAUAACCCACCAAGUUGACAGGAAAACACAGGUAGAUAUUAAAAUUCGUAAGAUCACGUUUAAAAGCACAAAAAAGGAAUUUUCCUUCCUUCAGUAAUC